rnacentral:rRNA from 1 species
UACGUAGGGGGCUAGCGUUGUCCGGAAUCAUUGGGCGUAAAGCGCGCGUAGGCGGCCCGGUAAGUCCGCUGUGAAAGUCAAAGGCUCAACCUUUGAAUGUCAGCGGAUACUGCCGGGCUAGAGUCCGGAAGAGGCGAGUGGAACUCCUGGUGUAGCGGUGGAAUGCGCAGAUAUCAGGAAGAACACCAACGGCGAAGGCAGCUCGCUGGGACGGAACUGACGCUGAGGCGCGAAAGCGUGGGGGAGCGAACAGG